rnacentral:pre_miRNA from 1 species
AAGUCAUAGACUGGGAAAUCUCUGCAGGCAAAUGUGAUGUAUUUAUAGCAAUCUCACAAUUACCUGUAGAGUUUCUGCAAUCUGGCAUC